GAUGAUUUUAUAAGGGAUUUCCCCUUUCUUUUCGCUCUCAUUCCCUCUUGUCUGCUGCCAUGUGUCUUGUGUCUUUCACCAUGAUUGUGAGGCCUCCCCUGCCGCGUGGAACUCCCAGAGAUUGUCAACAAUAGAGAAACAUCACGGAAGACAAAAAACCCACAGGCACUUUGAGUCCACCAGUCAACAGCCUAUACUGAUUGCUGGUGGGGUUCCCUGUAUCCAGCGAGGAAGACAGAAUGCAAAGCCAAGAAAGAGCUCAUGGCCUGCUAUGGUUUGAAUACUUGUGUCCCUGCCAAGAUUCACACGAUGAAACCUAUUCACCAAUGUGAUGAUGGUGGGAGGUAUGGCCUUUGAGAGGUGAUUAGGGCAUGAAGGCAGAGCCUUGAUGAAUGGAAUUAGUGCCCCAUGAUAAAGGUCUGCAGAGAGCUGCUGCUCCCCUUCCACCAUGUGAGACACAGCAAGAAGAUGCCAUCUAUGAGAAAGGGCCUUCACCAGACACUCAAUCUGCCAGCACCUUGAUCUCGGACUUCCCAGUUCGAGAAAUUCUGGAAGAAAUUUAUUUUUCCAGAAAGGGGAAAAAUAAAUUUCUGUUGUUUAUAAGCUAUCCAGUUUAUGGUAUUUUGUUACAGCAAUUCAAACAGACUAAGACAGGCU
rnacentral:lncRNA from 10 species